UUUGGCAUAUAAAAUCAAACAUAAUUGGACAAUAAAAGUAGCUUUUACAAAUGUAUUAUUUUAGCAUGGCCCCUGUGCAAGGAUGAUAUGCAAAUUCGUGAAGCAUUGCAUAUUUUU
ensembl:snRNA U6 U6 spliceosomal RNA